GACGAACGCUGGCGGCGUGCCUAAUACAUGCAAGUUGAGCGAUGAAGAUUGGUGCUUGCACCAAUUUGAAGAGCAGCGAACGGGUGAGUAACGCGUGGGGAAUCUGCCUUUGAGCGGGGGACAACAUUUGGAAACGAAUGCUAAUACCGCAUAACAACUUUAAACAUAAGUUUUAAGUUUGAAAGAUGCAAUUACAUCACUCAAAGAUGAUCCCGCGUUGUAUUAGCUAGUUGGUGAGGUAAAGGCUCACCAAGGCGAUGAUACAUAGCCGACCUGAGAGGGUGAUCGGCCACAUUGGGACUGAGACACGGCCCAAACUCCUACGGGAGGCAGCAGUAGGGAAUCUUCGGCAAUGGACGAAAGUCUGGCCGAGCAACGCCGCGUGAGUGAAGAAGGGUUUCGGAUCGUAAAACUCUGUUGGUAGAGAAGAACGUUGGUGAGAGUGGAAAGCUCAUCAAGUGACGGUAACUACCCAGAAAGGGACGGCUAACUACGUG
rnacentral:rRNA from 1 species